rnacentral:lncRNA from 1 species
UCUAUAAAGACUAAAAAAAUAUAUGUUGCACUCAAUCAGAAUCUGCUAAAUCCUGAGAUUCAAUCUUAAGUGGGUUUGUGCAUUACCUGGAAAACAAUUUGCAAAAUAGAUCUUUAAAGUUCAGAGUAAAUUGGAGAAAAGGCUACAUUACAUUUGAACCUUAAUAAAUACUUAAUAACCCAUAAGACAAAUAGCCAUGAAUUACUAGAAUGAUUUUAAGCAUAGUGCUUCUGCAUAGAGUCAACCUGCUCUCUUAUUUUUCUCAUUAUAAAACAGGAGUUAUAAUAUUACAAAGUUUA